rnacentral:rRNA from 1 species
GUAGGGUGCAAGCGUUGCCCGGAUUUAUUGGGCGUAAAGGGCGCGUAGGCGGCUCUGCACGUUCGUUGUGAAAUCGCCCGGCUCAACUGGGCGGGGUCAGCGGAUACGGCAGAGCUUGAGCAAGCUAGGGGGCAAUGGAAUUCCCGGUGUAGUGGUGGAAUGCGUAGAUAUCGGGAGGAACACCAGUGGCGAAGGCGGUUGCCUGGGGCUUUGCUGACGCUGAUGCGCGAAAGCGUGGGGAGCGAUCCGGAUUAGAUACCCGGGUAGUCCACGCCGUAAACGAUGUCGACUAGGUGUCGGGGGUAUCGACCCCCUCGGCGCCGCAGCUAACGCAUUAAGUCGACCGCCUGGGGACUACGGCCGCAAGGCUA